GGGUUGUGAGGUUAAGCGACUAAGCGUACACGGUGGAUGCCCUGGCAGUCAGAGGCGAUGAAGGACGUGCUAAUCUGCGAUAAGCGUCGGUAAGGUGAUAUGAACCGUUAUAACCGGCGAUUUCCGAAUGGGGAAACCCAGUGUGUUUCGACACACUAUCAUUAACUGAAUCCAUAGGUUAAUGAGGCGAACCGGGGGAACUGAAACAUCUAAGUACCCCGAGGAAAAGAAAUCAACCGAGAUUCCCCCAGUAGCGGCGAGCGAACGGGGAGGAGCCCAGAGCCUGAAUCAGUGUGUGUGUUAGUGGAAGCGUCUGGAAAGGCGCGCGAUACAGGGUGACAGCCCCGUAC
rnacentral:rRNA from 1 species